GCGAAGGUGGCGGAAUUGGUAGACGCGCUAGCUUCAGGUGUUAGUGUUCUUACGGACCGUGGGGGUUCAAGUCCCCCCCCUCGCACCA
rnacentral:tRNA from 1 species